rnacentral:rRNA from 1 species
CGGGAGCCGACGAGUGGCGGACGGGUGAGUAACGCGUAGGAAUCUGCCUGAUAGAGGGGGACAACGUGGGGAAACUCACGCUAAUACCGCAUACUCCCUACGGGGGAAAGCGGGGGACCUUCGGGCCUCGCGCUAUCAGAUGAGCCUGCGUUAGAUUAGCCAGUUGGUGGGGUAAAGGCCUACCAAGGCGACGAUCCGUAGCUGGUCUGAGAGGAUGAUCAGCCACACUGGGACUGAGACACGGCCCAGACUCCUACGGGAGGCAGCAGUGGGGAAUUUUGGACAAUGGGCGCAAGCCUGAUCCAGCCAUGCCGCGUGAGUGAAGAAGGCCUUCGGGUUGUAAAGCUCUUUCAGUUGGGAAGAAAAGGGUGUCUCUAACAUAGGCAUUCGAUGACGGUACCGACAGAAGAAGCACCGGCUAACUACGUGCCAGCAGCCGCGGUAAUACGUAGGGUGCGAGCGUUAAUCGGAAUUACUGGGCGUAAAGCGUGCGCAGGCGGCUGUGUAAGACAGGUGUGAAAUCCCCGGGCUUAACCUGGGAAUGGCGCUUGUGACUGCACGGCUAGAGUACGGCAGAGGGGGGUGGAAUUCCACGUGUAGCAGUGAAAUGCGUAGAGAUGUGGAGGAACACCGAUGGCGAAGGCAGCCCCCUGGGCCGAUACUGACGCUCAUGCACGAAAGCGUGGGGAGCAAACAGGAUUAGAUACCCUGGUAGUCCACGCCGUAAACGAUGUUCACUCGCUGUUGGCGAUACACAGUCAGCGGCCAAGCGAAAGCAUUAAGUGAACCACCUGGGGAGUACGAUCGCAAGGUUGAAACUCAAAGGAAUUGACGGGGGCCCGCACAAGCGGUGGAGCAUGUGGAUUAAUUCGAUGAUACGCGAGGAACCUUACCUGGGCUUAAAUGGUAAUUGACCGUCGCCGAAAGGUGUCUUUCUUUUAGACAAUUAUCAAGGUGCUGCAU